rnacentral:rRNA from 1 species
GUAGGUGGCAAGCGUUGUCCGGAAUUAUUGGGCGUAAAGCGCGCGCAGGCGGUUCUUUAAGUCUGAUGUGAAAGCCCACGGCUCAACCGUGGAGGGUCAUUGGAAACUGGAGAACUUGAGUACAGAAGAGGAAAGCGGAAUUCCACGUGUAGCGGUGAAAUGCGUAGAGAUGUGGAGGAACACCAGUGGCGAAGGCGGCCUUCUGGUCUGUAACUGACGCUGAGGCGCGAAAGCGUGGGGAGCAAACAGGAUUAGAUACCCUGGUAGUCCACGCCGUAAACGAUGAGUGCUAAGUGUUAGGGGGGUUUUCCGCCCCCCUUAGUGCUGCAGCUAACGCAUUAAGCACUCCGCCUGGGAGUACGGCCGCAAGGCUG